UACAGAGGGCGCGAGCGUUGUCCGGAAUCACUGGGCGUAAAGGGUGCGUAGGCGGGUCUUUAAGUCAGGGGUGAAAUCCUGGAGCUCAACUCCAGAACUGCCUUUGAUACUGGCGACCUUGAGUCCGGGAGAGGUGAGUGGAACUGCGAGUGUAGAGGUGAAAUUCGUAGAUAUUCGCAAGAACACCAGUGGCGAAGGCGGCUCACUGGCCCGAUACUGACGCUGAGGCACGAAAGCGUGGGGAGCAAACAGG
rnacentral:rRNA from 1 species